AGAAGAGAGACAUUGGGAGAGAAAGUUUAUUUGAAGAAAUAGUAGCUGAAAUUUUCCCAACUCUAGGGAAGGCAACAGACAUCCAGAUUCAAGA